ACGUAGGUGACGAGCGUUGUUCGGAAUUAUUGGGCGUAAAGGGUUCGUAGGAGGUUUAUUAAGAUUGGUGUGAAAUCCCAAGGCUCAACCUUGGAACUGCAUUGAUUACUGAUGAACUAGAGUGUCGUAGAGGAAAGCGGAAUUCCAGGUGUAGCGGUUUAUUGCGUAGAUAUCUGGAAGAACACCGACAGCGAGGGCAGCUUUCUGGGUUAUAACUCACUCUGAGGUACGAAAGCAAGGGCAACAAACAU
rnacentral:rRNA from 1 species